rnacentral:misc_RNA from 1 species
GGAAAACAAAGAAUGGCCCUAAAUUUUAACUUGGGAGGAAAAACUGAGAAAUUUGGGAAAUUUUGAAUAAGUUACAAACUGUACAUUCUUUACAACAAAUCACAAUACAUAUGUAUAAAUUUCAGAACUAGUUUGCUAACCUAAUAUAUAUGCAAAUAUUUCAUCAAUUUGCAUACUUCCUAUAAUGCUAAAUUCAUUGUCUAAGUUGUAUUGUGCUUUACCUUUCGG